AGUGAACGCUGGCGGUAGGCCUAACACAUGCAAGUCGAACGGCAGCACAGUAAGAGCUUGCUCUUACGGGUGGCGAGUGGCGGACGGGUGAGGAAUACAUCGGAAUUUACUUUUUCGUGGGGGAAAACGUAGGGAAACUUACGCUAAUACCGCAUACGACCUUCGGGUGAAAGCAGGGGAUCUUCGGACCUUGCGCGAUUGAAUGAGCCGAUGUCGGAUUAGCUAGUUGGCGGGGUAAAGGCCCACCAAGGCGACGAUCCGUAGCUGGUCUGAGAGGAUGAUCAGCCACACUGGAACUGAGACACGGUCCAGACUCCUACGGGAGGCAGCAGUGGGGAAUAUUGGACAAUGGGCGCAAGCCUGAUCCAGCCAUACCGCGUGGGUGAAGAAGGCCUUCGGGUUGUAAAGCCCUUUUGUUGGGAAAGAAAAGCAGCAGGUUAAUACCCCGCUGUUCUGACGGUACCCAAAGAAUAAGCACCGGCUAACUUCGUG
rnacentral:rRNA from 1 species